rnacentral:rRNA from 1 species
GCAAGUCGCACGAGAACGGUUGAUUUCGCUUGACCUAGUAAAGUGGCGCACGGGUGAGUAACGCGUGUGUAAUCUACCUUUGGAUCUGGGAUAACGUUUCGAAAGGAACGCUAAUACCAAAUAAGACCACAACCACUACGGUGGUAGCGGCCAAAGCGGGCCUCUAUUUAUAAGCUCGCGUCUGAAGACGAGCUCGCGUCCCAUUAGUUAGUUGGUGAGGUAACGGCCCACCAAGACCACGAUGGGUAGCUGAUCUGAGAGGAUGAUC